rnacentral:rRNA from 1 species
AUUGAACGCUGGCGGCAUGCCUUACACAUGCAAGUCGAACGGCAGCACGGGAGCAAUCCUGGUGGCGAGUGGCGAACGGGUGAGUAAUAUAUCGGAACGUGCCCAGUAGUGGGGGAUAACUGCUCGAAAGAGCAGCUAAUACCGCAUACGACCUGAGGGUGAAAGCGGGGGAUCGCAAGACCUCGCGCUAUUGGAGCGGCCGAUAUCAGAUUAGCUAGUUGGUGAGGUAAGGGCUCACCAAGGCGACGAUCUGUAGCUGGUUUGAGAGGACGACCAGCCACACUGGGACUGAGACACGGCCCAGACUCCUACGGGAGGCAGCAGUGGGGAAUUUUGGACAAUGGGCGCAAGCCUGAUCCAGCCAUGCCGCGUGCGGGAAGAAGGCCUUCGGGUUGUAAACCGCUUUUGUCAGGGAAGAAACGGCUCCUACUAAUACUGGGGGCUAAUGACGGUACCUGAAGAAUAAGCACCGGCUAACUACGUGCCAGCAGCCGCCGUAA